GUACGAGCUUUGGUUCAAGUGUAAGCUUAUAUUUUUGGGUGCACCUCUGUUCUCCAUGUUAACGCAAUGCGCCUUUUCACACUUUUCACACUCGCUAGUGGCUGGAUAGUCUACAGAAGAGGGUAGGAGUUUACAACUCCUUGCUACACCAGGGUAUGUCUACACUGGACAGGAAAACCCACAGCACCGAGUCUCAGAGCUCAGGCGUUGGCUCUGGAUGAUGAACUAGACACUGCGGUCAAAAUUGCACAUUCAGUCUUGCAAAAACCAGAGGCGAGCAAAACUGGAGAUGCACUGGAUUGGCUCAGACAUGUGCAGACGUAAGAAGGCCUUGGGAAGCCUCCAGUGACCUAUGGGGAAUUUACCACCUUCCAUUAUGGAGUUCAAACUCAUUUAUCAUAAUGCCCACAAGACAUCGACUGGAAAGAACUCUGCCAUAGACUAGGAAAUCUGUGUGUGAUCACUGCAGGCUGAAGGGAGGUUCAAAUCUGGAAAAGGGCCUCCUUGUUCAUUGUCCAUCAAAGAUGAUGGUGUAGUCAAUUGGUCUGGGCCUAGAGCACUGCUGUCUCAGUCCUUGCAGUUACUUCGUGGUCUCUACUCCAUGAAGCAAGGAGGGGGACGGUUGCCCUAAGAGGAAGAAUGGUCAUAUGGUUAUGGUAAUAGAUUGGGAAGAAGGAGAAAGGGAUUCUGUUGCUGUUUCUAUAGGACACGUCCUACUUUGGGUUUGAGUCCCACCUCUGUCACAUCUUUCCUAUGUGCCCUGGGGCAAGUCACUUUAUGUCUCUGUGCCUCCACUCCCAGGCUGCAAAAUGGGGAUAACAGUGGUUCCCACUCCUGCGAGCAUUGUCCAAUAAGUUAUCCCGGUUUGUGAGGUUGUCUAGUGAGGGGUGCCAUAGAGGAUGAGGCUGCUCAGAAAGGAAACAAUUCCAUAUGUAGGAAAGGAUGUGGAGGGUGCAUAACCGAACAAUGAGGAUAGACCAAUAUCGAACACCUGCCUUAUUCUCUAAGCAUCGUCUGCCCUUUGCACUAAAUGAGGCUGGGGUCCUGUGGAAUAAGUAACCAGAUCCUGUAAAUAAAGACUAUCAUAAAUGAUA